rnacentral:rRNA from 1 species
GUCGAACGGUAUGGAGAAGCUUGCUUCUCCAGAGAGUGGCGAACGGGUGAGUAACACGUAGGUGAUCUACCGCAGGGGUUGGGGAUAGCCCAUGGAAACAUGGGGUAAUACCGAAUACGCUGGGUCCGCUUUGGCGGACUCAGGAAAGGCGCUUCGGCGUCGCCCUGCGAUGAGCCUGCGCCCCAUUAGCUAGUUGGUAGGGUAAGAGCCUACCAAGGCGACGAUGGGUAGCCGGCCUGAGAGGGUGACCGGCCACACUGGGACUGAGAUACGGCCCAGACUCCUACGGGAGGCAGCAGCUAAGAAUCCUCCGCAAUGGACGAAAGUCUGACGGAGCGACGCCGCGUGGGUGAAGAAGGCCGGAAGGUUGUAAAGCCCUUUUCUUGUUGAGGAAUAAGCACAGGAGGGAAUGCCUGUGCGAUGACGGUAGGCGAGGAAUAAGUCCCGGCCAAUUACGUGCCAGCAGCCGCGGUAACACGUAUGGGACGAGCGUUGUUCGGAAUCAUUGGGCGUAAAGGGCGCGUAGGCGGCGAGGUAAGCCUGGUGUGAAAGACCGCAGCUUAACUGCGGGAGCGCGCUGGGAACUGCUUGGCUUGAGUUCAGGAGGGGGAGCUGGAAUUCCAGGUGUAGGGGUGAAAUCUGUAGAUAUCUGGAAGAACAUCGGCGGCGAAGGCGAGCUCCUGGCCAUGAACUGACGCUGAGGCGCGAAAGCGUGGGGAGCGAACAGGAUUAGAUACCCUGGUAGUCCAC